rnacentral:rRNA from 1 species
UGUUUAACUUUAAAACUAAAGCUGCUAAAUAUCCGAUCCCAUUUUGAACUCGAAGAUAGCUUUCUUUAUUAAGUAUAUUGUAUAUUAUACGGGAACCUUAAUUUGUUAAACU